rnacentral:rRNA from 1 species
UACAGAGGUCUCAAGCGUUGUUCGGAUUCAUUGGGCGUAAAGGGUGCGUAGGCGGCGCGGUAAGUCGGGUGUGAAAUCUCGGAGCUUAACUCCGAAACUGCAUUCGAUACUGCCGUGCUUGAGGACUGGAGAGGAGACUGGAAUUUACGGUGUAGCGGUGAAAUGCGCAGAUAUCAGGAGGAACACCGGUGGCGAAGGCGGGAUCCUGGGCCAGUACUGACGCUGAGGAGCGAAAGCGUGGGGAGCAAACAGG